rnacentral:rRNA from 1 species
CACGUAGUUGGCCGGUGCUUCUUCUGUACCUACCGUCACCACCAUCAUCGGCGCUUCGUCGGUACUGAAAGAGGUUUACAACCCGAAGGCCGUCAUCCCUCACGCGGCGUUGCUGGAUCAGGCUUCCGCCCAUUGUCCAAUAUUCCCCACUGCUGCCUCCCGUAGGAGUCUGGGCCGCGUCUCAGUCCCAGUGUGGCCGGUCACCCUCUCAGGCCGGCUACCCGUCGAAGCCUUGGUAGGCCAUUACCCCACCAACAAGCUGAUAGGCCGCGAGCACAUCCCUGGACCGAAAAAACUUUCCACCAACACCACAUGCGUAGGUUGGUCGUAUCCGGUAUAGCCACCGUUUCCGGUGGUUAUCCCAAAGCCAAGGGCAGAUUACUCACGUGUUACUCACCCGUUCGCCGCUCGAGUACCCCCGAAAGGGCCUUUCCGCUCGACUUGCAUGUGUUAAGCACGCCGCCAGCGUUCGUCCUGACGUCCGAGGACGUACCAAACCGUUACCUCGUACGACGAACGUU